AUCCUAGAGAUAGGACGUCCCCUUCGGGGGCAGAGUGACAGGUGGUGCAUGGUUGUCGUCAGCUCGUGUCGUGAGAUGUUGGGUUAAGUCCCGCAACGAGCGCAACCCUUGAUCUUAGUUGCCAGCAUUCAGUUGGGCACUCUAAGGUGACUGCCGGUGACAAACCGGAGGAAGGUGGGGAUGACGUCAAAUCAUCAUGCCCCUUAUGACCUGGGCUACACACGUGCUACAAUGGACAGAACAAAGGGUAGCGAAACCGCGAGGUUAAGCCAAUCCCACAAAUCUGUUCUCAGUUCGGAUCGCAGUCUGCAACUCGACUGCGUGAAGCUGGAAUCGCUAGUAAUCGCGGAUCAGCAUGCCGCGGUGAAUACGUUCCCGGGUCUUG
rnacentral:rRNA from 1 species